CACGGGGGGAGCAAGCGUUGUUCGGAAUCACUGGGCGUAAAGGGCGUGUAGGCGGUCAAGUAAGUGGAAUGUGAAAGCCCCCGGCUUACCCGGGGAUCUGCAUCCCAAACUGCUUGGCUUGAGUACGGGAGAGGAUAGGGGAAUUCCUGGUGUAGCGGUGAAAUGCGUAGAUAUCAAGAGGAACACCUGAGGUGAAGACGGGUUGCUGGGCUGACACUGACGCUGAGGCGCGAAAGCCAGGGGAGCAAACGGG
rnacentral:rRNA from 1 species